CCAAUAGCGUAUAUUAAAGUUGUUGCAGUUAAAAAGCUCGUAGUUGAAUUUCGGGAUUGGCGCAUCGGUCGUGCCUUACGGGGUAUGAACUGGUGCAGUCAAUUUCUCACCUUCUGGAGAACCGCGAUGUCCUUAAUUGGGUGCCGCGGGGAACCAGGACCUUUACUUUGAAAAAAUUAGAGUGUUUAAAGCAGGCAUUUUUGCUUGCAUACAUUAGCAUGGAAUAAUAAAAUAGGACGGCAUGGUUCUAUUUUGUUGGUUUCUAGGACCACCGUAAUGAUUAAUAGGGAUAGUUGGGGGCAUUAGUAUUCAAUUGUCAGAGGUGAAAUUCUUGGAUUUAUUGAAGACUAACUACUGCGAAAGCAUUUGCCAAGGAUGUUUUCAUUAAUCAAGAACGAAAGUUAGGGGAUCGAAGACGAUCAGAUACCGUCGUAGUCUUAACCAUAACCUAUGCCGACUAGGGAUCGGAUGAUGUUAAUUUUUUAAUGACUCAUUCGGCGCCUUACG
rnacentral:misc_RNA from 1 species